UGGGGAAUAUUGGACAAUGGGCGAAAGCCUGAUCCAGCCAUGCCGCGUGUGUGAAGAAGGUCUUCGGAUUGUAAAGCACUUUAAGUUGGGAGGAAGGGCAUUAACCUAAUACGUUAGUGUUUUGACGUUACCGACAGAAUAAGCACCGGCUAACUCUGUGCCAGCAGCCGCGGUAAUACAGAAGGUGCAAGCGUUAAUCGGAAUUACUGGGCGUAAAGCGCGCGUAGGUGGGUUGUUAAGUUGGAUGUGAAAUCCCCGGGCUCAACCUGGGAACUGCAUUCAAAACUGACUGACUAGAGUAUGGUAGAGGGUGGUGGAAUUUCCUGUGUAGCGGUGAAAUGCGUAGAUAUAGGAAGGAACACCAGUGGCGAAGGCGACCACCUGGACUAAUACUGACACUGAGGUGCGAAAGCGUGGGGAGCAAACA
rnacentral:rRNA from 1 species